rnacentral:rRNA from 1 species
ACGAACGCUGGCGGCGUGCUUCACACAUGCAAGUCGAACGGGAAGGCCCUGCUUUUGUGGGGUGCUCGAGUGGCGAACGGGUGAGUAACACGUGAGUAACCUGCCCUUGACUUUGGGAUAACUUCAGGAAACUGGGGCUAAUACCGGAUAGGAGCUCCUGCUGCAUGGUGGGGGUUGGAAAGUUUCGGCGGUUGGGGAUGGACUCGCGGCUUAUCAGCUUGUUGGUGGGGUAGUGGCUUACCAAGGCUUUGACGGGUAGCCGGCCUGAGAGGGUGACCGGCCACAUUGGGACUGAGAUACGGCCCAGACUCCUACGGGAGGCAGCAGUGGGGAAUAUUGCACAAUGGGCGGAAGCCUGAUGCAGCAACGCCGCGUGCGGGAUGACGGCCUUCGGGUUGUAAACCGCUUUCGCCUGUGACGAAGCGUGAGUGACGGUAAUGGGUAAAGAAGCACCGGCUAACUACGUG